rfam:Megamonas hypermegale ART12/1 draft genome.
AACAAUCUGUGUAACUGACGGAAGUGGAAUUAACCACAUGAAGCACAGAUUUAUACAGCCGACCGUCUGGGCAACAAAA